AGUGAACGCUGGCGGUAGGCCUAACACAUGCAAGUCGAACGGCAGCACAGUAAGAGCUUGCUCUUACGGGUGGCGAGUGGCGGACGGGUGAGGAAUACAUCGGAAUCUACUUUUUCGUGGGGGAUAACGUAGGGAAACUUACGCUAAUACCGCAUACGACCUACGGGUGAAAGCAGGGGAUCUUCGGACCUUGCGCGAUUGAAUGAGCCGAUGUCGGAUUAGCUAGUUGGCGGGGUAAAGGCCCACCAAGGCGACGAUCCGUAGCUGGUCUGAGAGGAUGAUCAGCCCCACUGGAACUGAGACACGGUCCAGACGCCUACGGGAGGCAGCAGUGGGGAAUAUUGGACAAUGGGCGCAAGCCUAAUCCAGCCAUACCGCGUGGGUGAAGAAGGCCUUCGGGUUGUAAAGCCCUUUUGUUGGGAAAGAAAAGCAGCAGGUUAAUACCCCGCUGUUCUGACGGUACCCAAAGAAUAAGCACCGGCUAACUUCGUG
rnacentral:rRNA from 1 species